GCAAGCGAACGCAGAACGUCAAGAUAAGUUUACUUUAGUGUGCAGUUCAUACCUGGAGAUUAUGAAGAAUUUAGUUCUUUUAUUUUUAUUUUAUAUUAAAUGUGUGAUAUGUCAAAUAGAAGUCCGUCAGACACCAUUAAAUUUACAAGUUGCAGUUGGGGAAGAAGCAUGGAUUACAUGCAAAUACAAAGCUUCAAGCUCUAAUAAUAUUCAAUGGUAUCGACAGCUCCCAAAUGCCGGGCCUGAGCACCUUACAAUUUCUGUGAUCGAUGGUACAGUCGCAAAAGAAAAUAUUCAAGUUUCUCUGAACAAAUCACAAUACGUAAGCAAUCUAACGAUUAUGAACUCUGAAAUCCGAAAUUCAGCAUUCUACUUUUGUGCUAUGGAGGCACAUUGUGUUUGCUUUACAAGAUGGCUGCACAAAAACCGUAAGCGGGUAGUUAGGGUAUGUAUGUGGAUUCUACAACUGACAAUUUGUCAAAGAAAUGGUUGUUAAAUAAGUGAAUAAGAAAUAACUGUUAAACAAAUACCCAGAAACUUAUGAGUUAUUAAAACUGUAAGGUUUUUAAUGCUUAGGUCUUGUGGCGCAGAGGUCAGGCCGGUGGCUCAUAUGAACAGUGCUGUCUUCGUAUUUUUUUUUUUUU